CUGCUGCUAAUCAGCUCUGUAACCUUGAACAGGGUAUCAUUCAAAGGGAGAUCAGAGCGCUUCAAGAUUCAGUGACCUUAUUAUUAACUUUCCAUGUACUGCUAUUUUCUUAUCUAUCCAUCUUAGCCUGCUAUCACUCCAUGUGUACUAUCUAGAGACAAAAAAGCAGAGCUGGGUACCUCCAAAUGUCACAAGCAGCAAAAUAUCCAAAAGACUUAAUAUUUUCCUGGCUGACAAUGUGUACAUUGUGUACUAUGGCAUUUUCCUUCCUGAUGUUGUUAAAGAUAUAGCACAUUUUAAAGAUAAAAACUAGACAAGUGGCAUUUUAAGACAUUACAAAGUAUUUAUCUUACAGGAACAGAUUAACAACCUUAAAAUCCUACCAAGACUUGCUUUAAUAUACAACAGAACCUGGAGUCCUCACCACCACUAACUCAUGACGCUGUUACCUAAGCAACUGUUAGCUUUGUGCACGAACAUUGUAGUGGGCUGGACUUGGCGCAAGGGAAUUAGUUAGAAACUCUACUACUGUUGGCACUGCUCUGAAACCAUCCUAUCGACCACCCACGUGGCCCAACGCAUUUCCUUACGUGUUGCUGCUUGGACUUUCUCACAACUUAGCGCCCUCCUCUGCUUCUACCACUUAAGGUCAUUUAUCUUAUUGUUGUUCUCAGAUCUCCUUAAUGGUCAUGCAAAGGCUUGUUUAACUAUCUGGAUAAGGACAUGGCUGCACGGAACUUUGCCUUCUCCCUUAAACUUCUGUGUAAUUUCAACUUUUUGCUUAAAAAAAUUACAUAUGACUUAUGUAUUUCCCUCAGGUAUUUGCUUCAUCCUUCAAGAUGCAAUUCAGAGAUUUAUCCUCUCUGACCGCGCCACCUGUACCACUAGUACUGAAUCCAUCUUGGUUAACAUCCCAUAUCGCAGUCUCAAGUGAACUGUCAAUCCCCGAAUCCCCAGGGUGUGGCACAGUGCCUGGCACUUAAGAAACCCAUUAAAUAUUUCUUAAACAUUAAUCUAUUUUCUAGUAUGCUGCUAAGUCGCUUCAGUCGUGUCCGACUCUGUGCCCCUCCGUCCCUGAUUUUCCAGGCAAGAGUACUGGAGUGGGGUGCCAUAUUAACCCCUAUGUUUGUACAAAACUCGAAAUUUUGUACGCAACCUUAAAAAAUUACACCAUCAUAUAAAAUUCAAGAUAAAGCAGUAACACUUUCUUCACCAUUUUGCAAAGGGGGAGUAUAGUCAAGGAUAUUAAAAAUCGUAUUAACCUUCAUGUUUUUUGGUGGUCACACACUAUCUAGAGACUAAUUUCUUUCUUUUUACUGUCUAUAUCGAGACUAAAACAUUACACUUAAAAUGGAAUCGCAUGUUAGCAUAGUGCAAACCAGUUUUGCAAUUAGUGAAAAAAUAUUUACUUAGCAACUGUUGAGAGCAGUUUCUAAAAAUACCCACCUCCCACCUUUCUUCCAAUCCUAAAAAUCUAAUAUAGCACUUCAUCACCAAGAUUUGUGUCACUGUUCACUGGCAGAGAACCAAUGGAUGCCUGCCUGACAAAAUUGUUUCCAAUGGUUAUUCAAACUAUUUCACAUCCCUGCAUUAGUAAGGCUGACUUAAUAUGGUAAUGGUGAGAAAGGGCCACAUUUUUCUACCUAAUACAUUCUACUCCAUAAAUAAUCAGACUACGAAUGUACUAUGGUACUAGAGGGUGAGAAAAUCCUGUCAGUGAAUAUACUAAUACAUUAGAAUAGCAUACCUCUAUAAACCUGAUUACAUGGAAAUGCUCCAAAAUUGUAAAUAAAAUAUUUACCAUAGGUAAAAAUAACCUGACCAAAUUUCUUAUUCAGUAGAAUGCAGACUUUAUUAAUGCAUCCUACUUAGUAUUUGGUCCUAAACAUGGACUCGACUAAUAGCCCCAACAGUUGAAGGGAUGACUUGUUUAUGAAAACCUAUCAGUUUGGACUUUAACUCCUCCUACA
ensembl:lncRNA